CCUACGGGUGGCAGCAGUGGGGAAUAUUGGGCAAUGGGCGCAAGCCUGACCCAGCAACGCCGCGUGAAGGAAGAAGGCUUUCGGGUUGUAAACUUCUUUUCUCAGGGACGAAGAAAGUGACGGUACCUGAGGAAUAAGCCACGGCUAACUACGGUCCAGCAGCCGCUGUAAUACGUCGGUCGCAAGCGUUAUCCGGAUUUAUUGGGUGUAAAGGGCUGCGAGGCGGGAGCGUAAGUCAGAUGUGAAAACGCAGGGCUCAACCCUGAGCCUGCAUUUGAAACUGUGUUUCUUGAGUGCAGGAGAGGUAAGUGGAAUGCCUAGUGUAGCGGUGAAAUGCGUAGAUAUUAGGAGGAACACCAGUGGCGAAGGCAGCUUACUGGACUGCAACUGACGUUGAGGCUCGAAAGCGUGGGGAGCAAACAGGAUUAGAUACCCGGGUAGUC
rnacentral:rRNA from 1 species